GGGACUGAGGGUGCCUGUAGGAGCCGCAGCCGCCGCCGCUGCCGCCGCCGCCGCCGCCGCAGAGGAGGAGGAGGUGGAGGAGGUGGCCGCCGUGGCCGCCGAGGAGUCCCUUGCUGAAGGCGGACUGCCGGGCGGCGGGCGGCGCGCGCGCGCCCCAGAGGCGGUUGUUGGAGAAGUGGAGCGGCGGUCGCGGGGGGGAGGAGGAGGAGGAGGAGGGACUGAGUGGCGGCGGCCCCCGCGUCCCGGUGCCUCUAUGGGGAAAGCAGACAAUGGAUUAUGAUUUCAAGGCGAAGCUGGCGGCGGAGCGGGAGCGGGUGGAGGAUUUGUUUGAGUACGAAGGGUGCAAAGUGGGACGCGGCACCUACGGGCACGUCUACAAGGCGAGGCGAAAAGAUGGAAAAGAUGAAAAGGAAUAUGCAUUGAAGCAAAUUGAAGGCACAGGAAUAUCCAUGUCAGCUUGUAGAGAGAUUGCAGAAAGCACUCCAUCAUCACUCUUGGUAUUAAGAAAAAUAAUGAUGCAAAGAAUACAUGAGGCAGGAUUUCUGUAGACCUCACUGGCUAAACUGGCCGUAAGUCUCACUUUCCUUAUUUGCGAAAUAAGGAAACUCUAAGGUCCAUUGUAGUCAUAAAUUCUUUGAUUUCAGAAUGGGAGCUUCUCCAAACAAAACAAAACAAAACAAAAAAAAGGAGUUCCCAUCGUGGCUCAGUGGUUAACGAAUCCGACUAGGAACCAUGAGGUUGCAGGUUCGAUCCCUGGCCUUGCUCAGUGGGUUAAGGAUCUGGCGUUGCCGUGAGCUGUGGUGUAGGUUGCAGACAGGUUUGGAUCCUGAGUUGCUGUGGCUGUGGCAUAGGCCGGUGGCUACAGCUCUGAUUAGACCCCUACCCUGGGA
rnacentral:lncRNA from 1 species